rnacentral:misc_RNA from 1 species
CUGAGUGAGGGAGCAAUCCCGACCUCCAACCCUUUGUGAACACAUCUUGUUGCUUCGGGGGCGACCCUGCCGCAAGGCAUUUCCCCCCGGAGGUCAUCAAAACACUGCAUUCUUACGUCGGAGUAAAAAGUUAAUUUAAUA